rnacentral:rRNA from 1 species
GAUGAACGCUGGCGGCGUGCCUAAUACAUGCAAGUCGAGCGAACGGACGAGAAGCUUGCUUCUCUGAUGUUAGCGGCGGACGGGUGAGUAACACGUGGAUAACCUACCUAUAAGACUGGGAUAACUUCGGGAAACCGCAGCUAAUACCGGAUGAUAUUUUGAACCGCAUGGUUCAAAAGUGAAAGACGGUCUUGCUGUCACUUAUAGAUGGAUCCGCGCUGCAUUAGCUAGUUGGUAAGGUAACGGCCUACCAAGGCAACGAUGCAUAGCCGACCUGAGAGGGUGAUCGGCCACACUGGAACUGAGACACGGUCCAGACUCCUACGGGAGGCAGCAGUAGGGAAUCUUCCGCAAUGGGCGAAAGCCUGACGGAGCAACGCCGCGUGAGUGAUGAAGGUCUUCGGAUCGUAAAACUCUGUUAUUAGGGAAGAACAUAUGUGUAAGUAACUGUGCACAUCUUGACGGUACCUAAUCAGAAAGCCACGGCUAACUACGUG